GAGGGGCAGUUAGGUCCGCUGUGUAAUCAGGCAGACGUGUCCGCGGCCUCCAAGCGCAGGAGAGGGAAGCGCCGGAGCCCGGCGCCGCAGAGCGCCUCGCGCGAAUGGGACCUGCGCACCUGUUCCGAGAGCCGCCGACACCGUGCCAGCUCAAGGCAGGUUUCUUCUCCCUCACGGCCUUUCCCAGACCCAGGCAGCACCACAAAUACCCACCAGCUACUCCUCUCACAUCACUGCAGUGCUGCCCUGACCGAGCAGAGUCAUGCUGCGCGACUGGUGGCAUAUGGCUCAGAGUUCGCAUUUGCGUCCUCUGAGCCACGUGAGCAGCGACUGACUGGAGAAAAGACAUUGUGCAGAAGAGGAGGAGGACGAGGAGACGUUCUGGCAGGAAUCCAGCCGGUUGGAGGCAAGCCUGAGCCAUCUUUUAUGGCAGCCUUCCAUGCCACAUUACAGACAAUCAGCGACGGGCUUCUGACUGUCUUGGGAAAUGAGACGCAAAACAAUAGCGUGCGACCAGACAGUGGCUGCGCGGUGACCCCGCCGAGACCCUGGGCACCUCAUUAUGGAGGGGCGCUCCACUGCCACCCAUCAGAGAUGGAGCCCUCUGCCCAGCUCUGGGUCAGCCGGUACCAGGGGCCAGCACUGACCUCUGAUCGUCAGCUCACACCUUCAGGAAGCUGUUCGGGUCCCCAGCUGAUGCGGUGGGCUCCAGAUUAGCUCACCCCCACGGCAGAGAUGUCCUUCAGCCCUCAUACCCACUACCUGGGCACGCUUCGACCCUCAUACCCAG
rnacentral:lncRNA from 1 species